rnacentral:lncRNA from 1 species
GAAAACUCCAGGGGUACAGUGGUUCAGAAAUGGACAUAACAGCCUAGAGGAAGACCUGGGAGAAGCCCUUGAAUAACCAUUGGUCCAUUGUGCAUCUAGGGUCCUUAACAAAAAGAUAAAAGACAAGUGUAUAAUAUGUUGGAAAAAAAAUUUCCCAUUCCCACACAGCAACUUUCAGUAAAUACUUUUGUAAUUGCCCAUGAGUUGUCAAGCACUCAUGAGAUGAAGUUCCAACUCUACAGAUGAAAGCCCUGUUUUUGAAUCAAGCACUUCAUGAGUAAGGAUUUCACAAAGCUGCAAAAUCUGCUCUUGAG